CCUACGGGGGGCAGCAGUGAGGAAUUUUGCUCAAUGGGCGCAAGCCUGAAGCAGCGACGCCGCGUGAAUGAUGAAGUUCUUCGGAAUGUAAAGUUCUUUUGGCGGGGAAAAUUAUGAUUGUACCCGCAGAAUAAGCACUGGCAAACUAUGUGCCAGCAGCCGCGGUAAUACAUAGGGUGCAAGCGUUGUCCGGAAUUACUGGGCGUAAAGAGCGUGUAGGCGGCUUUUUAAGUCGUAACCUUAAAUACAGGGGCUCAACCCCUGUCAGGGUUCGAUACUGAUAAGCUAGAGAUUGGGAGAGGAAAGCGGAACUCACAGUGUAGCGGUGAAAUGCGUAGAUAUUGUGAGGAACACCCGUGGCGAAGGCGGCUUUCUGGACCAUUUCUGACGCUGAGACGCGAAAGCGUGGGGAUCAAACAGGAUUAGAUACCCCUGUAGUC
rnacentral:rRNA from 1 species